rnacentral:rRNA from 1 species
UGCCAGACUCCUACGGGAGGCAGCAGUGGGGAAUUUUGCGCAAUGGGGGAAACCCUGACGCAGCAACGCCGCGUGCGGGACGAAGGCCCUCGGGUUGUAAACCGCUUUCAGCAGGGAAGAUCCAAGACGGUACCUGCAGAAGAAGCUCCGGCUAACUACGUGCCAGCAGCCGCGGUAAUACGGAGGAUGCGAGCGUUAUCCGGAUUUAUUGGGUUUAAAGGGUGCGCAGGCGGAGGUGCAAGUCAGCGGUCAAAUUGCGGGGCUCAACCCCGUACUGCCGUUGAAACUGCAUCCCUUGAGUGCGCGAGAAGUAUGCGGAAUGCGUGGUGUAGCGGUGAAAUGCAUAGAUAUCACGCAGAACUCCGAUUGCGAAGGCAGCAUACCGGCGCGCAACUGACGCUCAUGCACGAAAGCGUGGGUAUCGAACAGGAUUAGAUACCCCAGUA